rnacentral:lncRNA from 1 species
AAAGGACCACCAGCCGUCCUACCGAAGUUUGUUCCUCCAUGGUACUGCAGUUGACGUAAACAAGCAAAUUGGUUUACUUCAACAUGAUGUACAGCAAUCAGUAAUUAAUGAAACAACUGAGGUAGAACAUACAAUUUCUUACCAUAUAGUAGUUAACGAAGGAUCCACCCUUCUGUAUAAACCUUGCGACAGCAAAAGCCAAGUCCUGAACAGGCCUGUGAGGAACUGGACCCCCGAAACCAGUGAACCUAUUAACAUAGAAUACAUGGAAUAAAUUCACUAGAUCGAUUGAUUUCUUGUGAAAAUUUAUAUGAAUUCAAAUGUGAAGAAGUAGAGGUUACCAGCCAGUCCAAGCUUCAGUCCACAUAGUCGGUUUAUAAGGCUUGUUUGGUGAGAAGUAAUCACAGUAGAACCCAUUGCAGGCAUUGAUCUGUAAAGACAAAAUCCAAAAAUGAGGUCACAAUAAGUCAACCUAGCUGGUGCAACAUGCAAUUACAAAUCCUCUAAUUAGUGCAGCUGUAAUCUAAGUAGAAGAAAGUGAUGUUGAACGGGACAAGGUGGAGAAGGAACAUGAACUUGGGGUUCUUCCUGAUGUUCCAGAACAAGAAAACCGAAAGCUUGGACUUACCACUGGAUCAGGUGCAUCAUCUUGCUUGCACAUGACCCACGGCACACCGGUGUUGAGGCCCACUGCCAUUUGAGCAGCCCAGGUUACGUAGUUCUUGGCUGCAGCUCCGCCAAAUUUCUCCAUUGGACCAUAUUCAUUUUCAAUCUGCUCAAGUUAGACAAAGAGCAUGGAAGAGCAGAAAGCGAAUUAGAUGAGAUCUUUGGGAGCUGAUCAACUCGAUGACACAUAAAAGCUAACGAAUUGAUGAAAGCAAAGAAGGAAAGGAUUCGAUGAUACCUGAGAGAGGAUAAUGGGACCACCCUGUGAUUCGAAUAAUCGUUCAGACUUCAUCAUGGCGACAAUCUUCUCUGUGAACUUCGCCAUGGCCGCCUUUUACAUGAACAGACCAGUUAGCAAUUGCUCGGAUAGAGGAGUUCGAGUAUACACAUGUAAAGAGAAUUUCUUGUGGAUUCUUACCUUGAAAGGUUCAUUGUCGGUCCUGAAAUUGAUGCCAGGAACAUAUUUUAGCCAGACAGGAAAUCCCCUGUUUUACAAAGACAAGAUGAACAACAGAACAACGUCAUCAGAUUGCAUGAUUAGGCUUUUGAUUCCACAUAGAAGAAUUAAUCGAAGACCUCGUACCCAAAGUUCCAUUCGGCACAAACAUAAGGACCAAUCCGGAGAUGAACAUAGAGGCCGGCAUGCUUCACCAGCUUGAUGAAGCGAACCAGGUCGUAAUUACCACCAAAAUAAUACUGCCAAAGAUCAAGAAAAGCAACAAAUUGAGGCACACUGUGGGAUGGAGCAGUAGCGUUAGACGAGAGGGCUGGGAAUGUUUGGGUGAUCUCCGAACCUGGCCAGGGGACGGCUCGUGGCCGUUCCAGAACACGUAGGUCUGGAUAACAUCCAAGCCGCCAUCUUUAGCCUUCUGGAUAAGAUCCGGCCACAUCUGAAGACGAUCCAAUCGACAAAGUUCAGAUUUUGGCGCGGUAGAGUAACAGUGCACGAAUAGCUCACCAGAAAGGCAACAUUUUCCAGAGUUGGAAAUCUUACCUCCGGGGUGCUCCUGGGAUAGUGAAUGGAACCGGAGAUUAGAAUCCUCCUCUGCCCAUUGACGAUGAUAGCCUUGUGGUCGUAGGAAACGGAUGCAUCGACCGGAGUGGAAAGCCACAGAGACGACACCACCACCAACGCCACCGCCAGUAGCAGCAGCGUCGACAGUCCGAGGCUGCACCCAAGCGUCAUAAGCUCGAGGCUCAUGGUGGCCGGUCGGUCUUCGCUUCAGAGGAGUCUCCUUUCGUGUUCUGGCUGUAUAAUAUGUGAAUGAUGGAGAUUCGUGCGCGCUGUUCUUCCGUCUUUUCCUCCGCUAGAGAAGUUCUGAAGGAACUAUUGAGCAGUAGCGUUACCGUAACAAGCACACACCGAGGAAGAGAGAGGGAGAUCAAAGAGGCGGGAUGGAAGAGGACGGAUGCGGCGCGGGAGCCGUGGGUGCCUCUGCGGUUUAAAUACCGCAGGGGCGAAGACGAGCACAGGAUUGGCGCCGGAGUACGCGGGUCCCACAGCGCCAGCCAGUCAACGUUUUCUUCCGUUCCCCGUGAACAGCAGCAGCCAAAAAAUAGAAAAAGAAAACGUUGUUCGUUUGAUCAUUCCUUUGUGAUCAAUUAUGAUUCCAAUUCCUUUGGGCAGUUAAGAGAAACUUCGAUGGUUGGCAAUGGUUGGAAGAGUAAAAUCUAUUGUUAAAAAUUACUAUUUAAAGAAAAUUAGGAUAGGCAGGUUAUGUUGAACAUUAUUAGAAACUAACAAUGCUAAUUUUGUAAGAAAGCUUAUUGUAAUGAUAUUUUUUGUAUUGUCUAGUAUAUCAAUAUACAGACUUAACUUAGCUCAGGAUCAAUUUCUUUUCCAGGUUGAUAUUAGGGUAGUAAGCGGGUUUAUUAAUAUAUCUAUAAUAUAAUUUUAUUAUAAAAUUAAGAAUUACUCUGGAUAUAAUCUUUUUAUAUGGGUUACGAGCUCGGUCUCAGUAUCUUAUUUUUAGUUUGAAUAAAGAUUUAAAACGAGAGAAUUAUAAGUGUAUUAUCGAAUCUUUUCUUAUCUUGGAAAGUUUCAUUGGAAAUUUUUUUCCCCGUAGACAUAGGAAUUAUAUUCUUAAUAAUAUUAUAUUAUUGAAAUUUUGGGCUUAAAUUAAUUGAUCCUGUAUAAAAGAAAAGUCUCAAAGGGUGGUCACUUAAGAUCCAUCAAAAUGCUUAUAAGCUUAAACAGUGCAAAAGCAAAAGCUUAGCUCUUGCAAUUACGAGACCAACCAUUCUGUGUAAACAUGCUAUCCCAAUUGCUAAUAUUAUGUCCACACAUGGAAUCGAUAUAUGCAAAGUCCCACGUGCAGUAAGUAAUAUGUUGAGUGCAUCCAAUAUUUUCAAUGCACAUUUACUCACGUAACCAGGCAAUACCUUAAAGUAAGUGGGUGUGCAGUUCCUGCAUCUCCACCAAUCACUACUCCACGACUUUGGUUUGUAUAAAUUGACUUUAGUUCAUUUUCUUUACUUGGUCUACCAUCUGUGGUUAUCAUCUGCCGAUGGUUUUGACAGCAAGCUUCUUCAUAGUGCUACUCUUUUCACCAAAGAAAUCCCAGUUGGAUCACCACCCCACUCUUCAAACACAACCAACAAGUUUCCAGUUGGGUUCAGCCAAGCGCGAGGAACAUGAUACCUGAGAUUUGUGGUCAGUAAUCAGUCAUUUAUUCGAUUCUUUUGCAUGCUUUGACUGAAGUGGACAAAAAGGCAGGUGUUUCAUUACCAUUUUUGAGAAGGCUCCCCACAAUUAGUCUGGCAUUUCUUCUCGUUGUAUGUCCCUCUGUAAUCGCACCAAUCACAAGAACCAUAUGCCUUAUAGGCAGGCCAAUAUCUGCCAAUGCUUUGUCCAUUGAUCCAUAUCUGACCUUUGCCCAUGCUACUCAUGUCUAAUGCCAAUGGCUCGUUCCCAGCUGGAGCAUUAAAGAAAGCCUGGAAGAUGACAAAGAUUGAGUGAGAAAAUAGUCUCAAGCAUGAGAGGAAAGAAGAUGAACUUUAGGAUAACAUGUUUCUGUGUUGCAAGCGGUUCUGACCUUGUACCAAGUCAAGGGCUGCCUUGUAGAUGCACCCCCCCACUUAACUGAAGAACUGCCACUAAGUGUAUAGAUGCUCAGGGAUUCACCUCUAAGGCCGAUCUACACACACAAACAUGGAACUCAGUAACCAGUAAGCAAGUUUUAGUCAGAGAGUCAGCAGGUAGGAAGAGUUGAUUGGAACCUGGUAAAUCCAUUUCUGUGAUGAAAGGUCUCUCUUUCCUUCAUUGAGACCGUCCAGGGUCACUGGACCAAGAACACCAGCAUUCCAUGUCUCAAAGUGGUUGCCAAUAUUCUGAAACAGAUAAAGAACAGGAAUACGGAGUCUAAACAUCCAUCUUGUGUGUGUAUAAUUGUAUAGGGUUAUUGGUAUGAUAUUUCAACUUUUGGAUCAAUGGCCAGGAAAUAUUUCGCAACAAAGAAUGUACUCACAGGAAGACCAACAGCGACACUUAGAAUCGAGAUUUUGUUGCUUCCUGCCCACAACUUCACAUUUCCUGUGAAUCUUAUCUUUGGAUUGUCCAAACUACCAUAGACAGUCCCUGCCAGAAGAAAAGAUAAGCAAAAAACAAAUCGGAACCUCACCAAACGUCGAGCAUAUCAUCAAGAAACAAUUCUUCACAAGGCAAAGCCACUCACCGGCCAGUUCUCCAUUGAUGAAAACAUGCAUAGAAUGACCUGCCGACAUCACAGUUAGGAAAGGGUAUCGACCAUUCUUCAAGAAUUGCUCAUUUGAGUCUAUGUUAACACUGAAGAGUGGAGAUCGUGAGUCAUUGAGUGAUAGAGGUCAUUGAUUCUGUCUCAAAUAGAGAAGCUGCAAAGGAACGUCUACUCACUAUGUAGUGUACCACAGGUAGUCUGUCCGAUCCCAUGUCAUGCUUAUCUGCUCCACCAAUCCAUCUUUUGAGAAUGAUUUAUCCCUCAGUGAGUGGGUAUCCUCACUGAAGGACUCCCAAGAAAAUCCGCCAACCCAAGUCAUAUUAAUCUGCGACGUCGGAGCUCCUACCUGUGUUUAUCAUUAGCAUCUUUGUGUUUAAGACAGUCAUGAAAAUUCAACCAUGGAAGUCCUAUUCCAUCCAAGAAAAUUUGGAAUACAUAGCGAGAGAUACAUUUUCCUGAGCCAAGAAACAAACAACUCAACGGAGAGGUGAGUUUUAUGAGUAUAGGAAUAGAAUGCAACCGUGACCAUUAAUCAUCAAAGAUUUCUCACCUUUGCAGUGUUGAACACUGCGGUUUUGCAGUCUGGAAGAAUGCUGACGGACCAAGCUGGAAUAUGAUACUUCAUUCCGUUGAAAGUAACAGGUGCAUAAGAACGGGAGUUGAAAUUAGAAAGGAAUGCAGCACAAGCGCCUGACUUCGAUCUGUAUACAUGCGCCUGCAAGAAGUCGAACGUAGAAAAGUUCCAAAAUGCCAAAUCAUCGAAAAUAUUCUUGCAAAUUUUACAGCAAGAUAUAAGAAUUGAACCUCCUGAUAUUUUCCGAGAUUUGUCACUGUGGGAUCCCCAGAGACGAGAGCUGGUUCACACGAUUUGAUUGCUUUAUGCAGGUCUGUCAGAUGUCCCCAUUUCGGUUGCCUUAACAGACCUGAGAAAGAUUACAAUAUGUUUAUCACCAGAUAGAGGGAAUGGUAAUAGUCGGCAUCAAAUAGAUUUGUAUUGCAUCAUCAGAUGCUUGACCAAUGAGACUGCACAGUGUCUUCUUCGUAGAAGAGGAACAAGAUUUUAGCACCAAAAAGAAGACAUAGGAAAAGCAUAAGCAAACUGAGUGGGAACUGUAUUACCUCUAAUCUUCUCUUAAUCUUGAAAGAACCCAAGUAUUUGACCUAAAUAAUUCUUUGUGUGUGGUAGAUGAUCAAGCCAACCAUUCAUGCCCUUUUCCCCCACCCACGGACAAACUUCUAAACAAGAUGUUUGAUAUAAUGUUUAUGUAUGUUUGUAUCUUUUGACAUGUUCGCACAACAUAUAGAGGGACGAUCGAAUACUUAAUUACCCCAUUUCAGUUAGGUUUGGUGGUCGCUUUUGGCUUAUAAAUAAAAAUUAUAUUAUGUGGACACUUGCGAGAGAUAUUCGAUCUGUAUUGGACCAUUUUGACCCUUUGUUGUGCAACCAUUCAGAACUUGUAAAGUCAUGUUGAUAAUUUGCAUUGGUUAUGAGGUGUUUUUUGGAAUGUUUGUUUAUGGAUUCCGAGUGAGGCAUUUUCUCUAACUCGUUUUCUCUUUUGUAGGUCCUAAGAGACCAUGGGAGGUUUCGGAAAGACUGACCUUUACGGACGGACACACAAGGGUAUUGCACAACUUUGGCAAAGCCAACUAACCUCAUUUUAGUUAGGUUUGGUGGCCGUUUUAGGCUUAUAAAUAAAAAUUGUAUUAUGUGGACACUUGCGAGAGAUAUUCGGUCUGUAUUGGAUCAUUUUGACUCUUUGUUGUGCAACCGUUCAAAACUUGUAAAGUCUGUUGAUAAUUUGCAUUGGCUAUGAGGUGUUUUUUGGAAUGUUUGCUGAUGGAUUCUGAGUGAGGCGUUUUCUCUAACCCAUUUUCUCUUUUGUAGGUCUUAAGAGACCAUGAGAGGUUUUGGAGAGGCUGACUUUUGCGAACGGAUAUGCAAGAGUACCGCACGACUUAAACAAAACCAACUAAAUCCAUCAUCAAAAGCAUGACCUCCAACGGGGCGAAUUCAUAAGAAGUCACAAGUUAGACCAAAACCAUAUCAUUACAACGUGAAAAUUAUUACAAAUGUUAGAAAAAUGGCAUACCGUAUUCAUCGAUUGGGGCAUCAUAGUCAUAGCUGGUCGCAAUAAAAGGACCACCAGCCGUCCUACCGAAGUUGGUUCCUCCAUGGUACUGCAGUUGACGUAAACAUGCAAAUUCGUUUACUUCAACAUGAUGGACAGCAAUCAGUAAUUACUGAAACAACUGAGGUAGAACAUACAAUUUCUUACCAUAUAGUAGUUAACGAAGGAACCACCUUUCGCUAUAAACCUUGCGACAGCAAAAGCCAUGUCCUGAACAGGCCGGUGAGGAACUGGACCCCCGAAACCAGUGAACCUAUUAACAUAGAAUACAUAGAAUAAAUUCACUGGAUAGAUUAAUUUCUUGUGAAAAUUUAUAUGAAUUCAAAUGUGAAGAAGUAGCGGUUACCAGCCAGUCCAAGCUUCAGUCCACAUGGUCGGUUUAUAAGGCUUGUUUGGUGAGAAGUAAUCGCAGUAGAACCCAUUGCAGGCAUUGAUCUUUAAAGACAAAAGCCCAAAAAAAGAGAUCACAAUAAGUCACCCAAGCUGGUCUAACAUGCAACUACAAACCCUCUAAUUAGGGCAGCUGGAAUUUAAGUAGAUAAAAGUCAUGUUGGACUUGACAAGGUAGAGAAGGAACAUGAACUUGGGGUUCUUCCUGAUGUGGUAGAACAAGAAAACCGAAAGCUUGGACUUACCACUGGAUCAGGUGCAUCAUCUUGCUUGCACAUGACCCACGGCACACCGGUGUUGAGACCCACUGCCAUUUGAGCAGCCCAGCUUAGGUAGUUCUUGGCUGCAGCGCCGUCAUAGUACUCCUGUAUACUAUAUUCGUUUUCAAUCUGCUCAAGUUAGACAAAGAGCAUGGAAGAACAGAAAGCGAAUUAGAUGAGAUCUUUGGGAGCUGAUCAACUCGAUGACACAUAAAAGCUAACGAAUUGAUGAAAGCAAAGAAGGAAUGGAUUCGAUGAUACCUGAGAGAGGAUAAUGGGACCACCCUGUGAUUCAAAUAAUCCUUCAGACUUCAUCAUGGCGACAAUCUUCUCUGUGAACUUCGCCAUGGCCGCCUUUUACAUGAAUAGACCAAUUAGCAAUUGCUCGGUUAGAGGAGAUCGAGUAUAAACAUGUAAAGAGAAGUUCCUGUGGAUUCUUACCUUGAAAGGUCCAUUGUCGCUCCUGAAAGUGAUGCCAGGAACAUAUUUUAACCAGACAGGAAAUCCCCUGUUUUACAAAGACAAGAUGAACAACAGAACAGCAUCAUCAGAUUGCAUGAUUAGGCUUUUGAUUCCACAUAGAAGAAUUAAUUGAAGACCUCGACCUCGUACCCAAAGUUCCAUUCGGCACAAACAUAAGGACCAAUCCGGAGAUGAACAUAGAGGCCGGCCUGCUUCACCAGCUUGAUGAAGCGAACCAGGUCGUAAUUACCACCAAAAUAAUACUGCCAAAGAUCAAGAAAAGCAACAAAUUGAGGCACACUAUGGGAAGGAGCAGUAGCCUUAGACGAGAGGGCUGGGAAAGGUUGGGUGAUCUCCGAACCUGGCCAGGGGACGGCUCGUGGCCGUUCCAGAACACAUAGGUCUGGAUAACAUCCAAGCCGCCAUCUUUAGCCUUCUGGAUGAGAUCCGGCCACAUCUGGAGACGAUCCAAUCGACAAAGUUCAGGUUUUGACGCGGUAGAAUAACAGUGCACGAACAGCUCACCAAAAAGGCCACAUUUCCCACAGAAUUGGAGACCUUACCUCCGGGGUGCUCCUGGGAUAGUGAAUGGAACCGGAGAUUAGAAUCCUCCUCUGCCCAUUGACGAUGAUAGCCUUGUGGUCGUAGGAAACGGAGGCAUCGACCGGAGAGGAAUGCCACGGAGACGACACCACCACCAACGCCACCGCCAGUAGCAGCAGCGUCGACAGUCCGCGGCCGCACCCAAGCGUUAUAAGCUCGAGGCUCAUGGUGGCCGGUCGGUCUUACCUUCAGAGGAGUCUCCUUUAGUGUUCUGGAUGUAUAAUAUGUGAAUGAUGGAGAUUCGUGCGCGCUGUUCUUCCGUCUUCUCCUCCGCUAGAGAAGUUCCGACGGAACUAUUGAGCAGUAGCGUUACUGCAACAAGCACACACCGAGGAAGAGAGAGGGAGAUCAAAGAGGAGGGAGGGAAGAGGGCGGACGUGGAGUGGGAGCGCGGGGGCGGGGAGGACGGGGGAGGGCGAUGUGCCUCUUGCGGUAUAAAUACCCGACGGGCGCAAGCGAGCACAGGAUUGGCGCUGGAAUACGCGGGUCCCAAAGCGCCAGCCACGUCAACGUUUUCUUCCAUUCCCCCUGAACAGGAAAAAAUCAAAUGGACCGAAGCGUGGGGCCAUCUGCUUGUAAGAAAGUGGACCAAUUAAGAUAAAGCUUUGAUAGUUGGCAAGGAUCGACAGAGUCAAAAUAUUUUGUUAAAAUUAUUAUUUGAGAAAAUUAGGACAGAUAGGUUAUGUGGAAUAAUAUUAGAAACUAAUAAUAUUAGUUUAGUUUUGUAAGAAAAUUUUAUGUUGAUGAUAUUUUUUAGUUGUCUAAUAUAUCGAUAUACAUUAUGAUAGUAAGCGAGUUAGAUAACAUAUCCAUAACCAUGAUAUAAAUAUUUUUUUAUAAAAUUACAUAUACAUGAUAUACCUAAAGGGUUUGAUGAGAUAUAUCAUAUUAUUAUUUUAUUAUGUGAAUAACAAUUUUUUUAUAUGUUAAUUUAGUUUCACAUAAGAAAUGUAUAAAGAUUUAGAUAAGAGUAUGAUAAUUGUACCAUUCUUAUCGUGAGUUUAGAGGGAUUUAACUCAAAGUAUCUCUCUCAGACGAAGAUUAUAUAUGUGGCAGAUAAGGCUAAGCCAGAUAGGAGAGAAAGGUAUGUUUUUAAAUAAAUAAAGCUUUUUAAGCAAUGGAAUAUUGUCAAAAUUAAAAUAAUAUGAAUACUAUAUUUUUGAAAAGCAAAUAAAGUUUCUUGAGUUGUAAUGAUAUCCAUUUUAAGCAAAUAUAAUUGCUGCAUUAUAUUUUUAAUGUCGAUGCCAAUAUUUAUAGUCACUGAUUAAAACAUGCCACAUAUAAUAUUUUCUUUCAAUACCAGAAAGAUAUUUAUAGUAUGAAUGAAAGGAUAAAUUUAGCUGAAUAUGGAACAUGAUGAACCAUAUCAUAACCAAUCCUCAAUUGAACUAAAACUUAAUCCUUACAGAAAUAGUUUGUAAUCAUCCUAAACUGGUCUAAAUAGAUUUCUAUUUUAGAUUAAACUGGCCUAGACAGUGCCUGACCCAGUCUGAUCCUUGAUAAGUGGUCAAGCCAAGCUACUGAAAUGUUGACCUCUGUGUUUGUAACUCAUGAUGAAAUUCUAAGUGACAUUAACAGUUUCUUCUUUAUAGUUGAUAAAUCAUUGUCAUCUCUUUCUAAAAAUAAAAAUAAAAAAAGCUGGGAAUAAAAAUAUCUAUAACAAUGCCUUUUUCCUGGCACCAGAUUGUAUCUUUACCACUAAUUUCUUGUUUCUUGCACUGUUGCACAUGAUCAUCAUGCAUCUUGUUAGACAUCUCAAGUGGUUGCCACAUAGUUCAGAGCUCAGAAGCACAGCCACACAAUUGCAUCAGGAAUCAAAAUGCUUAUAAGCUUUGCAGAAGCAAUGGAAAAGGCAAAGGAUGAUAACUUAAUAUGGAUCAAAAUGCUUAUAAGCUUAAGUAGUACAGAAGCAAAAGCUUAGCUCUUGCAAUUACAAGACCGACCAACCAUUUUGUGUAAACAUGCUAUCCCAAUUGCUAAUAUUAUGUCCACACAUGGACUCAAUAUAUGCAGAAUCCCACGUGCAGUAAGUAAUAUGUUGAGUGCAUCCAAUAUUUUCUAUGCACAUUUACUCACGUAACCAGGCAAUACCUUAAAGUGGGUGUGCAGUUCCUGCAUCUCCACCAAUCACUACUCCACGACUUUGGUUUGUAUAAAUUGACUUUAGUUCAUUUUCUUUACUUGGUCUACCAUCUGUGGUUAUCAUCUGCAGAUGGUUUUGACAGCAAGCUUCUUCAUAGUGCUACUCUUUUCACCAUUGAAAUCCCAGUUGGAUCACCACCCCACUCUUCAAACACAACCAACAAGUUUCCAGUUGGGUUCAGCCAAGCGCGAGGAACAUGAUACCUGAGAUUUGAGGUCAGUAAUCAGUCAUUUAUUCGAUUUUUUCGCAAGCUUAAUGGGGUGGAAAAAAAGGCAGGUGUUUCAUUACCAUUUUUGAGAAGGCUCCCCACAAUUAGUCUGGCAUUUCUUCUCGUUGUAUGUCCCUCUGUAAUCGCACCAAUCACAAGAACCAUAUGCCUUAUAGGCAGGCCAGUAUCUGCCAAUGCUUUGUCCAUUGAUCCAUAUCUGACCUUUGCCCAUGCUACUCAUGUCUAAUGCCAAUGGCUCAUUCCCAGCUGGAGCAUUAAAGAAAGCCUGGAAGAUGAUAAAGAUUAAGUGACACAAUAGUCUCAAACAUGAGAGGAAGGAAGAUGAACUUUAGGAUAACAUGUUUCUGUGUUGCAAGCAGUACUGACCUUGUACCAAGUCAAGGGCUGCUUUGUUGAUGCACCUCCCCACUCAACUGAAGAACUGCCACUAAGUGUAUGGAUGCUCAGGGAUUCACCUCUCAGGCCGAUCUACACACACAAACAUGGAACUCAGUAACCAGUAAGCAAGUUUUAGUCAGAGACUAAUGUAGGUAGGAAGAGUUGAUUGGAACCUGGUAAAUCCAUUUCUGUGAUGAAAGGUCUCUCUUUCCUUCAUUGAGACCUUCCAGAGUCACUGGACCAAGAACACCAGCAUUCCAUGUCUCAAAGUGGUUGCCAACAUUCUGAAACAGAUCAGAGAACAGAAAUCUGAUGUCUCAACAGCCAUCUUGUGUGUAUAAUUGUACAGGGUUAUUUGUAUGAUAUUUCAACUUUUCGAUCAAUGGCCAGGAAAUAUUUCACAACAAAUUAUGUACUCACAGGAAGACCAACAGCGACACUUAGAAUCGAGAUUUUGUUGCUUCCUGCCCACAACUUCACAUUUUCUCUGAAAGUCAGCUUUGGAUUGUCCAAACUACCAGAGACAGUCCCUGCCAGAAGAAAAGAAAGCAAAAGCCAAAUCGGAACCUCACCAAAUGUUGAGCAUAUCAUCAAGAAUCAAUUCUCCACAAGGCAAAGCCACUCACCAGCCCGUUCUCCAUUGAUGAAAACAUGCAUAGAAUGGCCUGCCGACAUCACAGUCAGGAAAGGGUAUCGGCCAUUCUUCAAGAAUUGUUCAUUUGAGUCUAUGUUAACACUGAAGAGUGGAGAUUGUGAGUCAUUGAGUGAUAGAUGUCAUUGAUUCUGUCUCAAAUAGACAAGCUGCAAAGGAACGUCUACUCACUAUGAAGUGUACCACAGGUAGUCUGUCCGAUCCCUUGUCAUGCUUAUCUGCUCCACCAAUCCAUCUUUUGUGAAUGAGUUAUCCCCCAGUGAGUUGGUAUCCUCACUGAAGGACUCCCAAGAAAAUCCACCAACCCAAGUCAUUUUAAUCUGUGAUGUUGGAGCUCCUACCUGUGUAUAUCAUUAGUAACUUUGUGUUAAAGACACUGUCAUGAAAAUUCAACCAUGGAAAUCCUUUUUCAUCCGAGAAAAUUUGGAAUACAUAGUGAGUUAUACAUUUUCUUUAGCCAAGAAACAAAUAACUCAAUAGAGAGGUGAGUUUUUUUAAUACAGUAGUAGAAGCAACCAUGACCGUUAAUCAUAAAAUAUUUCUCACCUUUGCAGUGUUGAACACUGAGGUUUUGCAGUCAGGAAGAAUGCUGAUGGACCAAGAUGGAAUAUUAUACUUCAUUCCAUUGAAAGUAACACUUGCAUAAGAAUGUGGGUUGAAAUUAGAAAGGAAUGCAGCACAUGAGCCUGACUUUGAUCUGUAUACAUGUGCCUGCAAGAAGUCGAAUGUAGAAAAGUUCCAAAAUGCAAAUCAUUGAAAAGAUUCCUGCAAAUUUUACAGCAAGAUAUAAGAAUUGAACCUCCUGAUAAUUUCCGAGUUUUGUCACUGUGGGAUCCCCAGACACAAGAGCUGGUUCACACAUUUUGAUUGCUUUAUGCAGGUCUCUCAGAUGUCCCCAUUUCGGCUGCCUCAACAGACCUGAGAAAGAUUAUGAUACGUUUAACACCAAAUAGAGGGAAUGGUAAUACUUGGCAUCAAAUAUAUUUGUAUUGCAUCAUCAGAUGCUUGACCAAUGAGAUUGCACAAUGUCUUCCUUGUAGAAGAGGAACAAGAUUUUGGCACCAAAAAGAAGAAAUAGGAAAAGGAGAAGCAACCUGAGUGGGAAUUGUAUUACUACUAAUCUUCUCUUAAUCUUGAAAAGAACCCAAGUAUUUGACCUAAAUAAUUCUCUAGGUGAGCAAUCACAACUUUAUACCCACGCAAGUAAAAAGAUCAUGCAUUUCUUUCUAAAAGCUGGAUGAGAUGAUCCAAAAUCACAUCUUUCUGGAAUUAUCACAAGCAUGCUAUGUGUGCAGAUGAUGAAGUCAACCAUGCCUUUUUCCUCACAUCAAAAGCUCCAAAAGGGGCAGAUCAAUGAGAAGUCAUGAGUUAAUUUAAAACCAAAUCAUUACAAAAUGAAAAUUGUUACAUAUGACACAAUCAUUGAAGAAAAACUGCAUACCGUAUUCAUCAAUUGGGGCAUCAUAGUCAUAGCUUGUCGAAAUAAAAGGACCACCAGCCGUCCUACCGAAGUUUGUUCCUCCAUGGUACUGCAGUUGACGGAAACGUGAAAAUUCUUUUACUUCAACAUGAUGUACAGCGUUCAGUAAUUACUGAAACAACUCAAGUAGAACAUACAAAUUCUUACCAUAUAGUAGUUAACGAAGGAUCCACCCUUCUGUAUAAACCUUGCAACGGCAAAAGCCAAGUCCUCAACAGGUCUGUGAGGAACUGGACCCCCGAAAGCAGUGAACC